UUCUCACAGCAGGAAAGUGGCACUUCGCUAGACUGGCUACAUUGAUUAUCAAGAUGAGGCCGCCUUAAAGAGCAAGCACAGCACUUAAAUAUAUUAUAAUGUGUGGAAGAAUCAUGAUUUAAAAAGACAGCACUGUGAAUUUGCUCUAAGACUUCCCACCUGCUUGCAGGGGCUGCAGUAGUGUGUCAUAAAAUGGAACAUAUGCUGUUCACCCCGGGGAGCAUUUCCAGUUGGGAGCUGUAUCUGUCUGAACAUGAAUGUACAUCAAUGGUUGUGACAAAUCGUGUGAAUGCGUCUUAUAUGAUGAUGGACAGAUGUGAAGAAAUCACACCUGGAAUAGCGUGUUCAUAGUGUUCCUAUUUGGUUACUUAAUUAACUGAAGAGACUGGAUAUUUAACAGGAUUUCAGGAGCUGAGCCACUGAGGCCGAAGGAGGUACAGCCACAUUCAGCACAUGGAAGAGAUGACAUCAACAGAAAAAGUCAAGCCAUGUUUGUGUUCAGUUUCUGUGUGUUUCCCUUUGGGUCAUAUAUAGGAUACGACCUGUUCAAACUGUGCCAUGAAGAGCAAUUUGGAUCCUUGUGGCUCACGCAGAAUACCUAGUGCUACCUCUGCAAUUCCACUGUCUUAGUUUUCAUCAAGACUGUGAUAAAGGCUGCAGAAAAGGAGCAGUUCAACUUGACAGAAGACAUCUGGACUUUUUCAAAACCUCAGGAAACGUUUGAGCUUUUUGUUAUGCUUCAAGUUGCAACAGUAGGGUGGUUGUUCAAAAUGAAGCUCAACACAUUCAUUAUACCAUUGUGCACUCUGCUGAUAAAUAUGCAGAGAAAUUCUAUCUGUUUAAUCUGUGUGGGCAUUUGAACCUUGUGUAAUACUUGGUAGAAAUAACUGGGCUGAAUAAAGAUUAAUUAUUUGUACUGCAGGAAAAUGAAGCAAUUCCCACAGCAGCUGUUUUAAUCUUGGUAGUAAAAUCAGGAGAGUUUGUGCAGAUGCUCCAGUCUUGGGAGGCAUAGAGGCAGAUGUAUCAGAGGAAAUACCAACACAUGGUUUUGCAUAUUUUCUUCUCACUAGUCACAGCUGCAGUAGCACCUAAUUUUCUGUCCAUCAUCCUUUUCUUUCACCACUAUUUCCUGUAGUGCAGCAAUACCACCCAGCUUCUCCCUUCUAUUAGCUGGCAACACAGUACAGAAAUGUAGAAGUGCUGACAUACAUCCACAUAUUUCAAAAAAGUGAAUUUUGCUAAUGAAUACUUCUUCCUGUGAAUAGGACACCAGCAGUUCCACUAUCUUCUGUACUGGGUUCAUAUCUCAGCCAGAGGUUGGGGGUCUGUGUUGUGGUUUGCCAGAGGAAGGAGCACAGAAGCAGCUUGUUCUUGCUGAAACAGAAAGAAAAAAGGUCUCUUCUAAAUUACAUAGAUUGGAUUUGUUUCAUAGGUCUGGGCAGAUGUAUCAGUAUCAAGAACAUCUAAACAGUGGCAUGUGUUGGUUGGGAAAUGUGCGUAUGAAUGACUAUUAAUUUCUUUAACAUAGGAAGUUAAUAGGUGUAUUAUUGCCUUCCUGUAAGCAGACGAAGCAAUUAAAUAAUCAGCAAAAUAUAAUUCCCUGUCGGAGCAAGACUCAAUUAAUUCUUCUUUUCUUAUCUACACUAACGGAUAACUCAUGAAAAUUAUCUAUUGUCAGAAUAUUCUGUCCUCUUACACUGAUGCAACUUCUCAUUAUUUCCCAUUUGAAAGCAUUGCAGAAAAAAUGUAUUUCAAGAGAAGAUAUUUGAAGAUGAUGAUUUAAGUUAACUCCAGCCUCCAGGAGAGGGAGGAAUUGUAAGAACAAGAAGCAUAUGGAAGAACUCACCACAGGAGAACAGUAGGAGAGUAGGAAGUGGGGUAGGAAGAGCAGAAGGAAGAAGAUUAGGAGGAGGGAGGACAGCUGAUCUUUGCCAGUGGGUAGAAAUGAUUGCCACACCAUCAGCUUGUCCAAGUUCCCAUUUCACUCCUGUGAUGACUUCUCACACACUGUGUUUUAGUCACACAUUUUGUAAAUAGAAACGGCAUUUAACCCACUUACGGGAAAACAUCAAAGAAAAAAAUGCCUGAUCCCCACUUUCUUCUUUGAAGUGAAUUUUCAAAAGAUUAUACAAGUUUUAACACCAAUGCCUGCCACCACAGUACAUAGAAAAGUUAGAGUAAGCAGUGUACUAAGUAACAUGACUAAUAUCUACCACACGUUGUUCAUUUUUUUCCAUUCUCCCCCUAAUGGAAUAAAUUAGUACUUUGGAGUUUUCUUUUUCUUUUUUCUUUUAAAUAAAACAGGUCUGUCCCACUGCAUCUGUAUUACAGGCAGCAGACCUGUUUCAUUUGAGAGGAGGGGGAGAUGUCAGCAGUAGCAGUUCUGUUUGGUGCGGAUUUGUUCUCUAAGCUGGGAUUACUCCAGAGCAGCUCUGUCUUCUGCAUACGUGAACUUUUGCCCCGUGGUAGGGAUUUCUGCUGUCAGCCUCAAACCUCUUCCUGAGUUUUACAGCGAGGAAGGGAAAGUGCAAAGAAGAGGACAGGCUCACUGGGAGACCAGUGAUCAGGGGACCGCUCUCCUCCGCUCUUUGUCAGUGCUUCCUACAGCCUCAGUUUCAUAGCCAGAUGUGUUGCUAUUUUCCAUGCCUCUAGAAAAGACACAUAUCCAAUAUGAGGCCACCUCUUGCCAGGGUGGGACACUUUCCCCUGCCAGCCAGAAGCAGCAGAAAGUUUUACUUGAAUGACCUCUACAAUGAUGGAUUUAGCCACUUACUCGUACACAUGUACCACUAAAAGACCACACUACGUCUGCAGAUUCUUCAAGUAUUUCCUUUGCAGAUCAGUGUCACAUCUCUUUCUGAGGUUCAUUUUCAAGCAGCCAUAUUUUUGCUUAUUAUCUGAUCUCGUCCAAACACUGAGACUGACUGUUGGUAUAGGAGUAUAUGAUAUCUUUUUGUCAAAUUGUGUUUACAGGAAUAUUACCAGUGCUUGCUGUCAUGGCAUCUCAUGAGCUUGCUUAGUUGCUGCUUGAAGAUGUUGAUUCACACUAGAGAGCACACUAAUCAGUGUAAAACUUUGUAAAAAUACUGAUACUGCUAGAGUUAGUGGUG